UAAGGAAUAUCGCGCAAUGGGCGAAAGCCUGACGCAGCGACGCCGCGUGGGGGAUGAAGGUCUUCGGAUUGUAAACCCCUUUCGGGAGGGAAGAUGGAAUGGGGUAACCCAUUCGGACGGUACCUCCAGAAGCAGCCACGGCUAACUUCGUGCCAGCAGCCGCGGUAAUACGAAGGUGGCAAGCGUUAUUCGGAUUUACUGGGCGUACAGGGAGCGUAGGCGGUUCGGUAAGCCCUUUGUGAAAUCUCCGGGCUUAACCUGGAACAGUCGGAGGGGACUGCUGGGCUAGAGGACGGGAGAGGAGCGCGGAAUUCCCGGUGUAGCGGUGAAAUGCGUAGAGAUCGGGAGGAAGGCCGGUGGCGAAGGCGGCGCUCUGGAACGUUUCUGACGCUGAGGCUCGAAAGCGUGGGGAGCAAACGGGAUUAGAUACCCUGGUAGUCCACGCCUUAAACUAUGAAUACUAAGUGUCGGCGGGUUACCGCCGGUGCCGCAGCUAACGCAUUAAGUAUUCCGCCUGGGAAGUACGGCCGCAAGGUUG
rnacentral:rRNA from 1 species